CAGCAUUGUCUAGGCCAGGUCUGCCAUCUCCAUGGCUCUCCCUGUCUAAUACAAUGCAAAAUUUCAACCUCCGCAAGGCAGACCAGAAGGGAUGGCCCACAACACUGGCCCCCUCCCUUCGAUGGCCGAGAACAAAG
rnacentral:snoRNA from 1 species